rnacentral:rRNA from 1 species
UACGUAGGUGGCAAGCGUUGUCCGGAUUUACUGGGCGUAAAGAGCGCGCAGGCGGUCGUUCAAGUCGCGUGUGAAAGCCCCCGGCUCAACUGGGGAGGGUCACGCGAUACUGAUCGACUCGAAGGCAGGAGAGGGAAGUGGAAUUCCCGGUGUAGUGGUGAAAUGCGUAGAUAUCGGGAGGAACACCAGUGGCGAAGGCGACUUCCUGGCCUGUUCUUGACGCUGAUGCACGAAAGCGUGGGGAGCAAACAGG